rnacentral:rRNA from 1 species
GACGAACGCUGGCGGCGUGCUUAACACAUGCAAGUCGAACGGAAAGGCCCUGCUUUUGUGGGGUGCUCGAGUGGCGAACGGGUGAGUAACACGUGAGUAACCUGCCCUUGACUUUGGGAUAACUUCAGGAAACUGGGGCUAAUACCGGAUAGGAGCUCCUGCUGCAUGGUGGGGGUUGGAAAGUUUCGGCGGUUGGGGAUGGACUCGCGGCUUAUCAGCUUGUUGGUGGGGUAGUGGCUUACCAAGGCUUUGACGGGUAGCCGGCCUGAGAGGGUGACCGGCCACAUUGGGACUGAGGUACGGCCCAGACUCCUACGGGAGGCAACAGUGGGGAAUAUUGCACAAUGGGCGGAAGCCUGAUGCAGCAACGCCGCGUGCGGGAUGACGGCCCUCGGGGUGUAAACCGCUUUCGCCUGUGACGAAGCGGGAGUGACGGUAAUGGGUAAAGAAGCACCGGCUAACUACGUG